rnacentral:lncRNA from 1 species
GUUAGCAAGAGGCGGAAACGGUUUAGCAUGUACAGCUUUUUAACCUUCCUCUGUCCCCGGCGCUAGUAGCGAUCUGCGCAUGCGCAAGAUGCUGUGCCCACCUCCAACUUUCCUGACGUCUCUUGUCAAUCCCAUGAGGAUCUGGGAUUUGGAUGCAGAGAUGUUUAGCAACUUUUUUAAGAUAAGUAUUUCAUGUAGCUGUUGGACUGUAAGCUCCCUGAGGAUAGAGACUAAUUUUCACCUUCCUGCUUCUAUCUUCAGUGCCUAACAGUGUAUAGUACCUAGUAGGAGAUGAAUACACAUUUCCUAGAGGAAUAAAAAAAGGAAAUGGCCAAAUGUUAAAUCCUGAUCUGCCCAACUCCCAAAUCUAAUUCUUUCUACUUCUGAACUCAUAAUUUAUUAAAAACAAUUGGUAUUUGGCCCAUGGUUUUUAAUCCCUUAUUUACUGAAUAACUGGAAGCGUUAUGAGCUCUGUUCCAAUGUCUGUUUGAAGUUCUAGGUAAAUAAUUAGUUACCGAGUUCCCGUCUCUUGGCCAAAUCUAUAAUUAAGCAAGUUUCACAAGACAUAGUUAGACACAGUCCCUGGUUCCCUAAAAUGCGUUAACAUUCACCCAGAGGACCAGACUUGGAGAAAAACAUAGGACUGGAAAAUAUUUACUAUACUCCAGUAUCAUUGCUCUCCCUUGUCACCAUAAGCAAUUACAGAACCGGAAAGUGCUUUUUUUUUUUUUUUUUUUUUUAAUCUAAACAUAAAUCUUAACAGACAUACAUUCUCAUAGAGUUUCUUCACAGUGCAUUUUAGGAAUGAAACAAUUUUUGAUUCGUUAGCACACAAUGAUGUUAACAUAUUACAGUUUCUGUCCAGGAAUUGGAUAAAGGCAAGAAGUGAAAGACACAUCAAGCACGCUGUUCUAGAAGGACACGUGCAGGUGUGCCUGGGAACUUGGCCUGAGUAAUGCUUUAAGGCUCAACAAGGCAGGCCCAGUGAUCUGUGAAUCAUCUUUAUCUUCUGAUAAAGAAUGGGCGAAUAAAGUCAUUUCUCCUUGCCUUUCUCUCUCACUCAUGUGUUGACCAAAGUUACACUGGCCAUGGCUCCAGUCAUCUCAGGGCACUUCAUAGGGCCUUUUCAGUUGUGUGCUCAUCUAUGUCGUCAUUCCUCCACUUCUUCCAAGUGUUUACUAAGAGCUCUCAUAGCUCUUAGGGGGCUUGGGAGGAACACAGCACAAGCUUCUAGGCUCUGUGGGCGUUAUUGACAAUACACCUGGAAUUCAGGUGUGACUGUGAGGCCCCUGGCAGCUGAGCUGACGACUUAACUAUUAUCACCUUCCUUCCUCACCAGCUCCUGAGAUCCCUAAAAGUCUUUCUUGUUACUGUGACCUGAGGAGCGUGAUUCUCCCUUAUGUCCCUCUGCGCGGGGGUCACUGUGACAUCAACACAAAGGUGGCUCUCUUGCCUUGACUGAAAUUGCACCCAUGUUACCAUGACUGCAUGAUUAGAGAGGUGUCAACCCUUUACACAUUACUUAGUUGAAGAAGGUGCAGGAGCUGUUCAGCUAUGUGGAUGAUUCUUCUUGCUUCCUUUAGUGAGUUUGGCUACCUCUGUUUCCAUUGUGCACUAAAUCUACUGAUAUCAUUCAAAAUAUUUUUUAGCUUCGGGGUAGGACUGGCUCUCCCAGAGUCAAAUAUUUUCUUUAUAUUCUCCUUAUUUCCUGCUUUGAGUUUCCCUCUAUUACAUCUGCUCUGGUCAAAAUCUUUUUUUUUUUUUCUUUUUUGUCUGCCCCACAGCAUAUGGAGCUCCUGGGCCAGGGAUCAUAUCUGAGCCACAGUUGCAAGCUAUGCCACAGCUGCAGCAACACCAGAUCCUUAACCCACUGGGCCGAGCUUGGGGCCCAGCACUCCAGAGAUGCCACCAAUCCCACUGUACCACAGCAGGAACUCCAAAACAUUUUUUUUUAAAUGGCAGUUUUAUUGAGAUAUAAUUCACCUUUGAAAGUGUAAAGUUCAUUGUUUUUUUAGUUUAUUUGCAGAGUCAUACAUCACUACUCUCUAUUUUCCUUAUAUUUUUAUCACCCCCAAAAGAAAUACAUACUCGUUAAUAGUCAUUCUCGAGUCCUCCUUUUCCCCAGACCCUGGCAACCACUAAUCCAUUUUCUGUUCCAUGAAUUUGCCUAUUUUGGACAUUUUAUACGAAUGGAGCCACACAAUAUGUGGUCCUUUGUGACUGGCUUCUCUCAAUUAGAUUCCAGGUUUAUCCACGUUGUAACAGGUAUCAGUACCUCACUCCUUUUUGACUGGCUAAUUGAUUGUAGGGAUAAACCACAUUUUGCUUAUUCAUUCACCAGUCAGUGGACACUUGGGUUGCCUCUAAUUUUGGGCUCUGAUGAAUAAUGAAAGUUCCUACACAAGUUUUUGUGUGGACAUAUGUUUUCAAUUCUCUGGGAUAUGUAUCUAGAAGUGGCGUUGCUAGGCUGGCUCAGAUCUUAAAGAAACAUUUUAAUGGUCUUCAUUCUUAUCUCUGUUUCCCAGGGAACAGGUUUCUCUAUGGUCAUUAAACAAAAGGGAAUGACCAGCCGCAGGAACUUCACCAAGUACUGGAUACCACACCUGCUUUUCCAAGUCAGAUACAACCAUCUCCAUUCUAAACAGUCUACAUCUUUGAAGGACUGUGGCAGACCCAGGCUGGGGAUUAGUCACUGGGGUGACUCACAAACAGCAGCUUGCAGCGCCCAGAGGAGGCUCCCAUUUACAACUGAAGUCUGCCCUCUACUGGUCACAAGCAGCCCAAACCCACACCACAAAGCCACUGAAGAGUUUGCUUCUAAAAUCGUUUCUUCUCCAGGAACAUUUUGGAAAUUGCUACAAUUUAUUUAGCUAGAGAAAUACAAAGAAAUGACAUCUUCUG